rnacentral:rRNA from 1 species
GCAAGUCGCACGAGAACGUUUCAGCUUGCUGAAACUAGUAAAGUGGCGCACGGGUGAGUAACGCGUGGGUAAUCUACCUCCGAAUUGGGGAUAACAUUGCGAAAGCGAUGCUAAUACCGAAUGACAUCUCAAUAACUCCGGUCUUUGAGAUCAAAGGUGGCCUCUCCAUGGAAGCUACUGUUUGGAGAUGAGCCCGCGUACCAUUAGCUUGUUGGUAGGGUAAUGGCCUACCAAGGCAACGAUGGUUAGCUGGUCUGAGAGGAUGAUCAGCCACACUGGAACUGACACACGGUCCAGACUCCUACGGGAGGCAGCAGUGAGGAAUUUUGCGCAAUGGGGGAAACCCUGACGCAGCAACGCCGCGUGAGUGAUGAAGGCUUUCGGGUCGUAAAGCUCUGUCAAGUGAGAAGAACCUGCCCUUUGCUAAUAUCACUGGGCACUGACGGUAUCACUGAAGGAAGCACCGGCUAACUCCGUG